CCGUAUUAUUUACGAUCAGCGGGAGUCCGCAUUGUCGAUUAUAAUUAGUUGCGCAAGACGCAAGUCAAUACAAAUGCAACAAUUUCAUGUUGUAUUUCAUAUUAUAAAGUUGUAGUUUCAUAUUUUAUUGAUAAGAAAUAAUCAAGACGAUGUUUGUGUACAAUAUAAACAUGAAAUCAUGGGUAUUCAUCGCACUUGUAUGGACAUGCAGUCUUGCGCAACUAAUUAUAAUCGACAAUACGGACUCCCGCUGGUCGUAAAUAAUACGGCUUAAUGGCGAUAGCUCUC